GGAUUGCCCUAGUAACGGCGAGUGAAGCGGCAACAGCUCAAAUUUGAAAUCUGGCCCUCUUUUGGGGGUCCGAGUUGUAAUUUGCAGAGGGUGCUUUGGCAUAGGCGGCGGUCUAAGUUCCUUGGAACAGGACAUCGCAGAGGGUGAGAAUCCCGUACGUGGGCGCCUGCCUUUGCCGUGUAAAGCCCCUUCGACGAGUCGAGUUGUUUGGGAAUGCAGCUCUAAAUGGGAGGUAAAUUUCUUCUAAAGCUAAAUACCGGCCAGAGACCGAUAGCGCACAAGUAGAGUGAUCGAAAGAUGAAAAGUACUUUGGAAAGAGAGUCAAACAGCACGUGAAAUUGUUGAAAGGGAAGCGCUUGCAGCCAGACUUGCCCGCAGUUGCUCACCCAGGCUUUUGCCCGGGGCACUCUUCUGCGGGCAGGCCAGCAUCAGUUUGGGCGGUUGGAUAAAGGCCUCUGUCACGUAUCUCCCUCCGGGGAGACCUUAUAGGGGAGGCGCAAUGCAACCAGCCCGGACUGAGGUCCGCGCAUCUGCUAGGAUGCUGGCGUAAUGGCUGUAAGCGGCCCG
rnacentral:rRNA from 1 species